rnacentral:tRNA from 1 species
CGGGCCGUAAAAAGCCCUAAGAA